rnacentral:rRNA from 1 species
ACUCCUACGGGAGGCAGCAGUGGGAAUUUGGAUCAAUGGCGCAAGCCUGAUCCAGCCAUGCCGCGUGUCUGAAGAAGGCCUUCGGGUUGUAAAGGACUUUUGUCAGGGAAGAAAAGGCUGUUGCUAAUAUCGACAGCUGAUGACGGUACCUGAAGAAUAAGCACCGGCUAACUACGUGCCAGCAGCCGCGGUAAUACGUAGGGUGCGAGCGUUAAUCGGAAUUACUGGGCGUAAAGCGAGCGCAGCGGUUACUUAA